GACGAACGCUGGCGGCGUGCUUAACGCAUGCAAGUCGAACGGAAAGGCCCUGCUUUUGUGGGGUGCUCGAGUGGCGAACGGGUGAGUAACACGUGAGUAACCUGCCCUUGACUUUGGGAUAACUUCAGGAAACCGGGGCUAAUACCGGAUAGGAGCUCCUGCUGCAUGGUGGGGGUUGGAAAGUUUCGGCGGUUGGGGAUGGACUCGCGGCUUAUCAGCUUGUUGGUGGGGUAGUGGCUUACCAAGGCUUUGACGGGUAGCCGGCCUGAGAGGGUGACCGGCCACAUUGGGACUGAGAUACGGCCCAGACUCCUACGGGAGGCAGCAGUGGGGAAUAUUGCACAAUGGGCGGAAGCCUGAUGCAGCAACGCCGCGUGCGGGAUGACGGCCUUCGGGUUGUAAACCGCUUUCGCCUGUGACGAAGCGUGAGUGACGGUAAUGGGUAAAGAAGCACCGGCUAACUACGUG
rnacentral:rRNA from 1 species